AAAUUUGGGAUUUUUUGCGGAGUGUGAAAGUGGUGACAAAAACAGGACAGUGAGAACAAAACAGUAAAAACAAACGGUGAGGGCUGUUAAGCCAAGACGAUGUGAAAUUAUGAACGCUGGAAAAACGAGCUAUGAGAAGAGACAAAUAAAAGCACGUCUCGUCUUUAGGAAGGAAGUGGAAGAAAGAAAGAUGGAUAGCCUUUCUUUAGAUAUGAGUGAGAGAGAGAGAGAGA